CCUCGAGUUUCCAAAACCCAUUGUCAAGCACGAAUUUAAAAACAGUGUAGUCCUCCGAUGGCCUAUUCAAAGGCGUCAGAUGGUAGUUAGUACCUGAAAGCUUUAGAGUAUAGUAUCUUCAAGACAGGGGUAAUUGGAGGUCGCUGGGAGAGGCCUCCGUGCUGCAGUGGACAUAAAAAUAGGUUGA
rnacentral:lncRNA from 1 species